GUGAGGACAAUGAAGCAUUAUUUAAGUUGAACAUACCCAGUUGGUACACCAAGAUAAGCUGAACUUCUUUGGUUUGUAAAUGGCAAGCCACAUGAUGCAGGGGAGCUGAACAAUAGGGACGGAUUGCAGCUUACGAAGUAUGUUGUUGGCGCAAAUGCGAAUCCUCCAAAGAAUCCCAGAAGACCACCGAAAAAAGGGAAGAAAAGAGCCACUGCAAAGCACACCUGAUAGCUGCCAAUGACAUGGACGACGACAAACAGAUACUAGCAUUAUUUCACUGCCAGAGGACCGAGAUUACCUCAAAGACAUCACCGCUGCCGCCAACGAGACCCCAGAGAUGGAAUUGAAGUUUGGAAGGUGGGAGAGGACA